UACGUAGGGACCAAGCGUUGUUCGGAUUUACUGGGCGUAAAGGGCGCGUAGGCGGCAAUUCAAGUCACUGUGAAAUCUCCGGGCUUAACCCGGAACGGUCAGAUGAUACUGCUUUGCUAGAGUGCGGAAGGGGCAAUCGGAAUUCUUGGUGUAGCGGUGAAAUGCGUAGAUAUCAAGAGGAACACCUGAGGUGAAGACGGGUUGCUGGGCCGACACUGACGCUGAGGCACGAAAGCGUGGGAGCAAACAGG
rnacentral:rRNA from 1 species